rnacentral:rRNA from 1 species
AUUGAACGCUGGCGGCAUGCCUUACACAUGCAAGUCGAACGGCAGCACGGGAGCAAUCCUGGUGGCGAGUGGCGAACGGGUGAGUAAUAUAUCGGAACGUGCCCGGUCGUGGGGGAUAACGUAGCGAAAGCUACGCUAAUACCGCAUACGAUCUACGGAUGAAAGCGGGGGAUCGCAAGACCUCGCGCGAUUGGAGCGGCCGAUAUCAGAUUAGGUAGUUGGUGAGGUAAAGGCUCACCAAGCCGACGAUCUGUAGCUGGUCUGAGAGGACGACCAGCCACACUGGGACUGAGACACGGCCCAGACUCCUACGGGAGGCAGCAGUGGGGAAUUUUGGACAAUGGGCGCAAGCCUGAUCCAGCCAUGCCGCGUGCAGGAUGACGGUCCUAUGGAUUGUAAACUGCUUUUGUACAGGAAGAAACACUCCCUCGUGAGGGAGCUUGACGGUACUGUAAGAAUAAGGAUCGGCUAACUCCGUG